rnacentral:rRNA from 1 species
AAGUCGUAACAAGGUCUCCGUAGGUGAACCUGCGGAGGGAUCAUUACAAGUGACCCCCGGCUCCGGCCGGGGAUGUUCAUAACCCUUUGUUGUCCGACUCUGUUGCCUCCGGGGCGACCCUGCCUUUUCACGGGCGGGGGCCCCGGGUGGACACAUCAAAACUCUUGCGUAACUUUGCAGUCUGAGUAAAUUUAAUUAAUAAAUUAAAACUUUCAACAACGGAUCUCUUGGUUCUGGCAUCGAUGAAGAACGCAGCGAAAUGCGAUAAGUAAUGUGAAUUGCAGAAUUCAGUGAAUCAUCGAAUCUUUGAACGCACAUUGCGCCCCCUGGCAUUCCGGGGGGCAUGCCUGUCCGAGCGUCAUUGCUGCCCUUCAAGCCCGGCUUGUGUGUUGGGUCGUCGUCCCCCCCGGGGGACGGGCCCGAAAGGCAGCGGCGGCACCGCGUCCGGUCCUCGAGCGUAUGGGGCUUUGUCACCCGCUCGAUUAGGGCCGGCCGGGCGCCAGCCGGCGUCUCCAACCUUCUAUUUUACCAGGUUGACCUCGGAUCAGGUAGGGAUACCCGCUGAACUUAA